ACACAGACAUGGUGACCGGCCUAUGAAAUGAAACCUCUACGGGCAGAGCCGGCCCUCCCUAUAAGGCGAAUUAAGCGGCUGCUUAGGGCCCUGCAGCCACUAGGGGCCCCCCAGAUGGAUGCAUGGUAAACUGAAUUGACUGUCUCACACCUGCGCAGACCUGGCAACCCCCUUAUUUACAAUGAACUGCAACCUAGUUGUUCAUAGGGAGGAAUGUGAGGAUAUUCAUGUUUGCUUAAUAAAAAUCUGGCAACGAUGACUAUUGAGUCAACAUCAAUCGUCAACAUGCAUACAUGCAUGCAUGCACGCAUACGAAGAUGUUGAGGUGGGCAUAUCUCUCAGGAGCGGAGAGAGGAAGAAAAAAAAAGGUCGAAGAGGCAAACAAACAAGCUCAAGCAGCUGGAGAUGACAAUACUCCAACUCCUGGUUCAUCCACAGAGGACACAUAAACAGAUGUUCCUGGCCCAUCAUCAUCCCACACUGAAGCUGACUCAUCUUCAGCCCCUGGGACUGGUUCCAGUGAUGCAUUUGAUCCAGGUAAAACUGCUGAUCAAAGUCACCCAACAUCUAUUCUUCAGUGAGUGAGUGUAGUAGUAAACUACGGCCCAUCAUGUUAAUAGAGGUAGGGCCCCCGGAGCUUAUCCUGCUCAGGGCCCCCAGAUGUCCAGGGCUGGCCCUGUCUGCAGGAGCCUUCACCAUCAGAGGAACCUCAAGCCCAUCUGUAAUAUACCAGUGAGGCAGACCAGCAGGGAUCAACCCACCAAGACAACAACCCAGAGCAACCUGGAACAGCAGGCUGUCCAGCCCCACAGAUCACCACCUAGAUAGACCUAGACCCACCAACUCCAGGCCCCCAGGAGAUAUAGCAUUCCCGGGAGGACCUCCCAGCUGGCCAACCUUUGUUGACUUGUCCCAACAGUGGCCCAGUGUCAUCCGAGGACUGUAGAGAUCUCCUAGAUUUUAUGUUGGCAGACUUACCCUCCCCUGAUGGCACUGUCAGCACCCUGCAUCUGGUCAGUCAGGCUCCAGCUGGGGACACAGGUGGCUUCCCUCCUCCCCUCUGCCCUCAGAUACCCCCCUAGCUGGUACACUAUCUUGAAAGCGGCCCCAGGAGACAUCAGAGGACUCCUCCAUAUCAGGUCUGGAUCCAGAGGUGUGGUCUGACCCCUUGUCCACCUCUUCCCCUUUUCUAGGCCACUCAAAUGAUUGGUGGCGUAAAGGAGGUGGAGGGGAACUGGACAUCACAAAAGAAGAAGAAAAAGAAAAAAGACAG